AGAGUUUGAUCCUGGCUCAGGAUGAACGCUAGCUACAGGCUUAACACAUGCAAGUCGAGGGGCAGCAUUUUAGUUUGCUUGCAAACUGAAGAUGGCGACCGGCGCACGGGUGAGUAACACGUAUCCAACCUGCCGAUAACUCCGGGAUAGCCUUUCGAAAGAAAGAUUAAUACCGGAUGGCAUACGAAUAUCGCAUGAUAUUUUUAUUAAAGAAUUUCGGUUAUCGAUGGGGAUGCGUUCCAUUAGUUUGUUGGCGGGGUAACGGCCCACCAAGACAACGAUGGAUAGGGGUUCUGAGAGGAAGGUCCCCCACAUUGGAACUGAGACACGGUCCAAACUCCUACGGGAGGCAGCAGUGAGGAAUAUUGGUCAAUGGGCGCAGGCCUGAACCAGCCAAGUAGCGUGAAGGAUGACUGCCCUAUGGGUUGUAAACUUCUUUUAUAAAGGAAUAAAGUCGGGUAUGCAUACCCGUUUGCAUGUACUUUAUGAAUAAGGAUCGGCUAACUCCGUGCCAGCAGCCGCGGUAAUACGGAGGAUCCGAGCGUUAUCCGGAUUUAUUGGGUUUAAAGGGAGCGUAGGCGGACGCUUAAGUCAGUUGUGAAAGUUUGCGGCUCAACCGUAAAAUUGCAGUUGAUACUGGGUGUCUUGAGUACAGUAGAGGCAGGCGGAAUUCGUGGUGUAGCGGUGAAAUGCUUAGAUAUCACGAAGAACUCCGAUUGCGAAGGCAGCCUGCUAAGCUGCAACUGACAUUGAGGCUCGAAAGUGUGGGUAUCAAACAGGAUUAGAUACCCUGGUAGUCCACACGGUAAACGAUGAAUACUCGCUGUUUGCGAUAUACGGCAAGCGGCCAAGCGAAAGCGUUAAGUAUUCCACCUGGGGAGUACGCCGGCAACGGUGAAACUCAAAGGAAUUGACGGGGGCCCGCACAAGCGGAGGAACAUGUGGUUUAA
rnacentral:rRNA from 1 species